UUCAUCAACAAUUUUUCUUGCAGUAUAUUUUCUCAAGGAACAGUACUACCGAAAUAAAACUGGGUGUACAGCAUAUAUUUAAAAUGACAGACAACAAUUCAGAAUUUGGGGGACACUUUCAUUCAUUUUGUAUAUGAAAAAUACUAAACCCACUACAAUGUAUCUGAAGAAAAAAAAGAUCUACAUUUUAGCUUUGUUUUAUAAGUAGCAGAACAAAUUCAUAUUUAUUUUAAUUGUGCUCUAAAUUUAACUUGCCUCACCUUGCCUAAUCGAACCCCCUUAAGAUAUUACAUUUCUUCUCAUUAUCAUUAUAAUAUGUACUAAUAUUGUUAUUAUACCGUUAACUACAACACCUAAUGGGUCUUUAGCACGCUCGAAAACAUACCGUAUCUUGCAAGAAAUGUGUACACUUUUUUUUUUAUCAUGAUGGGAUGCACAGAAAGAAAUCAUUUAAGACUAUAUAGUGAAGUGAAUUAUAUUUAUAAUGCGCUUUUUCUCAAGUGACUCAAAGCGCUUUACAUAGUGAAACCCAAUAUCUAAGUUAAAUUUAAACCAGUGUGGGUGGCACUGGGAGCAGGUGGGUAAAGUGUCUUGCCCAAGGACACAACGGCAGUGACUAGGAUGGCGGAAGCGGGGAUCGAACCUGCAACCCUCAAGUUGCUGGCACGGCCACUCUACCAACCGAGCUAUGCCGCCCCAUAUAGAGUAAGACACGCAGGUCGUCGGCCAUUCUGAUGUUCAGGUUCCGUUUUUGGGAGGAUUUAGUCCAGUUUAAUUUUUUCAUAGUUGUUUUGUGUAAUUUUCUAAUCCGUUACAUGUUUAAUUUGUCUUAAGAAUGUGUUGCUGGGCAAAAAAAAAAUUGAGCUGGGCGCACUUUAGACAGUCCUGGUCUAAAUAGAUGCCAACACAAUACAAGGAUAAGCAUGUCUUGACUGAAGUCAAGCAUGAUCUGGAGAUGCAUGAAAGGAAGCUGUGGCUCAUUGAAGGAGACAUAAAUUCCAUGCUCAAGAGGAUAUCAAAUAUCAAUGGUGCUUAAAAUAAAUACAACGUUCGCCUUGAGGGGUACUCCUUUUUUUUUUUUGUCUUCAGCUACUUAGACAAUAACGCCGUCUGUUGACUAAUUACAUCUACACUGAUAUACAAGCUGUACACAGACUUUUCUCAAAUACAUCAGUUUCUUUUUUAUAGCAUUGUCCUUUGAGGAAAUGUACUGUAAUAAAAUAUUUGCUGAAAGAAAUUGUAUCAUGAUACAAUAGCUAGAGACAAUACCAAUGCUAUGCCACAUCAUGUUACGUCAGCAUGUCAAUUCUGAAAAAGAGCAGAUCUUUUAAGAUAAAACUGGACAUUGAGCUCCACCUGGCUUUUCUCCACAGAGGCAGUGUGUUUGUCGCACAUGGCGCUGAUCUCCAUGCCGCGCUCCCUCUCCUUGUCGCCCUGGCGAAAGAACUCCUCCAUGAUCCUCUCCGUCCACUGCCGGAAUGAUGAACUUACAAUAUCGAUAACGAGCUUGCGAAGGCUUUGCCGCUGUCGCUUGGUAAGGUUCUGGAAGAUGUCACAGUUGUCCUGGUGUAAGAGCUUGAAGCCCACAGCCAGGUGGUGGUUCUCUAGGACCGACUCGUCAUUGUACAUCAGAGCCAGCUCGGAGUCUGGGCACAAGAAGGCAAGUGGUGGUCGACAUCGUGGAUAGCGGCAGCAAAGAGGGCGGCUAAGAUCUCGAGAUCGGUGAAGACAGCCUAAGGACAGAGAGAGAGAACAAACGUACAUCAAGAGCAGGUGUGGAGAGCAGCACAUGGGUAGACUGCGUGACAUCUGCAGCAUGGAGGCUGUUGUGGUAGGCCACGUUGCCAUGGUAAUGGUCCUCCAGGGUCAUCACGUAAGUGACAAACGUGUCGAUUGGGAUGCGAAAGGUCUUCAGCAACUCUCGUUCCUGAGGAAGUAAGGACAAAAAGAGGUAGUGGAGUUUCAUAAAUAGUCAAAAAAAAUAAAAUAACCCUUCUUCAUAAAGUCAUUGAGCACCUGGAAGAUGGAAUACAUGAUGCAGCUCAGAGGUCUGUUGUUGGACAAUUCGGCAAUUUGGAAUAUGUUGAAGCUCCACUUGUCCAAGUCUUCCAACUCCUGCUUCAGAAUGAACACACACACAAAAAUACACACAAAAUAUGAAGUUUUAUGUAACAAAAUAAUCAUUAAUAUAAGUCUUCUGCAUUUUUUCCCUGCAAGUAAAAAAUCAUAAGUUUUAGAUGUCUAAGUCAAAAUUGACCAUGUUUAUCACAAAUGCUAACAUUGUAGCAUUGUCUUGCCUUGAUUUGAUUUCUUUCCAGCAUUUUUAAAUAAAAUGCAAACCAAUAAUACUAUUAUAAAUAAGUAAUCAAAUGUUUAAUUUUGAAUAUAUUCAAUGUUAUAUGUUCAAUGUUUAGAAAUCAGUACUUAUGGUUUUAAGCGUUCUUUUUUGUUAUCUACAAAACCCAAAACUAGUGAAGUUGGCAUGUUGUGUAAAUCGUAAAUAAAAAACAAAUACGAUGAUAUGCAAAUCCUUUUCAACCUAUAUUCCCUUGAAUAGACUGCAAAGACAAGAUUUGUAAUGUUCGAACUGGUAAACUGCAAAUAUUAGGUCAUUUGUAAUUUGAUGCCUGCAAUAUGUUUCAAAAAAGCUGGAACAAGUGGAAAAAAAGAGUGAGAAAGUUGAAGAAUGCUCAUCAAACACUUAUUUGGAGCAUCCCACAGGUGAACAAGCUAACUGGGAACAGGUGGGUGCCAUGAUUUGGUAUAAAAGCAGCUUCCAUGAAAUGCUCAGUCAUUCACAAACAAGGAACGGGCGUAGGUCACCACUUUGUGAACAAAUGUGUGAGCAAAUUGUCAAACAGUUUAAGAUCAACAUUUCUAAACCAGCUGUUGCAAGAUAUUUAGGGAUUUCGCCAUCUAUGGUCUGUAAUAUCAUCAAAAGGUUCAGAGAAUCUCGAGAAAUCACUGCACGUAAACGGCAAAUCCGUGACCUUUGAUCCCGCAGGCGGUAUUGCAUUAAAAACCAACAUCAUUGUGUAAAAAAUAUCACCACAUGGGCUAAGGAAGACUUCAGAAAACCACUGUCAGUAACUACUGUUCAUCGCUACAUGUGUAAGUGCAAGUUAAAACUCUUCUAUGCAAAGCGAAAGCCAUUUAUCAACAACACCCAGAAACGCCGCCGGGUUCGCGGGGCCUGAGCUCAUCUAAGAUGGUUACAUGCAAAGUGUAAAAGUGUUCUGUGGUCUCUCCACAUUUCAAAUUGUUUUGGAAAAUGUGGGGGUUGUGUCCUCCGGACCAAAGAGGAAAAUAACCAUUCGGACUGCUAUAGGCGUAAAGUUGAAAAGCCAGCAUCUGUGAUGGUAUGUGGGUGUAUUAGUCCCCAAAGCAUGGGUAAAUUACACAUCUGUGAAGGCACCGUUAAUGCUGAAAGAUACAUCACGGUUUGGGAGCAACAUAUGUUGUCAUCCAAGCAACGUUAACAUGGACACCCCUGCUUAUUUCAGCAAUACAAUUCCAAGCCAUGUGUUACAACCGCGUGGCUUCGUCGUAAAAGAGUGCGGGUACUAGACUGGCCUGCCUGUAGUUCAGACCUGUCUCCCAUUGAAAAUGUGUGGCCCAAUAUGAAGCCUAAAAUACCACAACGAAGACCCCUGAGUGUUGAACAACUUAAGCUGUACAUCAAGCAAGAAUGGGAAUUAAUUCCACCUGAAAAGCCUCAAAAAUUGCUCUUCUCAGUUCCCAAACGUUUACUGAGUGUUGUUAAAAGGAAAGGCCAUGUAACACAGUGGUAAAAAUACCCCUGUGCCAACUUUUUGGCAAUAUGUUGCUGCCAUUGAAUCCUUAGUUAAUGAUUAUUGGCAAAAAAAGAUUAAGUUUCUCAGUUUGAACAUUAAAUAUCUUGUCGUUUUUGCAGUCUAUUCAAUUGAAUAUAAGUUGGAAAGGAUUUGCAAAUCAAUGUAUUCUGUUUUUAUUUACGAUGUACACAACGUGCCAACUUUACCGGUUUUGGGUUUGUAUUUGGUAAGGUUUAUCUGUUUUUGUUUUUCAGUUAGUUAGCGACAUACCUCAAAAAGUUAUGGGCAGAUAUUGUUAAAACUUUUCAGGAAAUGUUAGAAGAGAAUAGAACAUGCUUUUUAUUGUCAUUGCACAUUAAGAACAACAAAAUUGUGGAAUACUGAUGCUGGAAGCGGCCAUGCAGUGCGUGAAACCAUGACCAAUCAGGAGCAGUUAGGGGUUCUGUGUCUUGCUCAAGGACACCUCAACAAGAGUUCGCUUGGCCGGGAUCGAAUCAGUAACACUUCAGUUACAAGACGGCCGCGCUUUACACUGAGCCAUCCCGCCCCAAUGGGAUAAAGAACAAGUAAUUAGAUUUUGUGGUUAAUACAGAUCGUUUCUACCUUGUUACUUACCCUCUAUCUACAUAACUAGGCUGUACUUUUCUGUGUGUGUAUGCUAGCGGCCCCAUCUCCACCCACAGAGACAGACAGAGUAGAUCAUUCUGUUAAUUUCAUUAUGCUAUAAAACAUGCCCAGCUGCAGACACUGAUGCAAGGCGUGAACACACUUGCAGCUUGUUUGUAGAACAAACAAAACAAACAUGCACAGACAUGACAAUUUAAUUUACGCUUAAAUGGCAGAGAUAAUUAUUUGAUUUGGUUCGUUUUUUGUGUGUUUAUUACUCAGAGUGAACAGGUUAUAGGCAUAUUUUUAUUUAAACUUUUUAGGAAAUGUCAGAAAUGGGAUAAGGACCAUGUGCAUGGUUUUUGGGAGUGAUCCGGAUCAUCAUAGAUGCAGAAUUUUUUUUAAAGGAUUCUGGAAAGCAUGAUUUAAAUAAAUAAAAAAGGUGUAAGAUACGUUGUUGUCGUCUACAACAGUGCAUUCUUUUCUUGUUAUUGUUUUAAAGCAGGGGUCUCAGCCCGCGAGACAUUAUUUUGCGGCCCCCACCUUAAUAUGAAAGUUUAAUGUCAGUGCGGCCCGCAAGUUUUAUAUGAAUGGCACUUGACAGCGUUGUGUUAUUUGGGUCCAAAAUGGCUCUUUCUACGUUCUGGAUUGCCUACUCCUGCAUUAGUGGAAAAGCGGCAAAUGAGUGAAAGCGACAGACGUUGCCAUGGAGACGAGGGUUUUUUUACGUGCCUGGCUGCAGUCACACCGCGACACCUGUCCAUCAGUAAUAACAGUCCCCGAGAACCUGGACCAAUUCAAACCGUUAUGUUUUUUUUAUUGUUUAAUUUGCAUCGCCUCACACGAUGAACACUACAUAUGUUUCUAUACCACGCCGGAUAACUCUCCGGGAGCCGUCACUUUUUUGCGCUCGCUAUCUCGGUACUAUUAUCCGCCAAACGCCGUGUUGCUUUAGGGAGGAAAAGCAGAACGGGCCACAUUGCGGAAUUUACAACAUUGUCUGUGCGUCGGCUAUAUACAAAUAUAUUCCACAACCCCAAACAUGUCUUUUUUUAAGCCUGCAGUGAAGAGAAACGUUAUUGAUGAUUAAAGACAAUUCCAGGAAAAUUGGGAGAUGCAAUAUUUCUUUGUUGAGCACAGGGGGACCCCGACGUGUCUUAUUUGCACAGAGAAAGUUGCGGUGGGCUUCACGGUGGAAGAGGGGUUAGUGCGUCUGCCUCACAAUACGAAGGUCCUGCAGUCCUGGGUUCAAAUCCAGGCUCGGGAUCUUUCUGUGUGGAGUUUGCAUGUUCUCCCCGUGAAUGCGUGGGUUCCCUCCGGGUACUCCGGCUUCCUCCCACUUCCAAAGACAUGCACCUGGGAUAGGUUGAUUAGCAACCCUAAAUGGGCCCUAGUGUGUGAAUGUGAGUGUGAAUGUUGUCUGUCUAUCUGUGUUGGCCCUGCGGUGAGGUGGCGACUUGUCCAGGGUGUACCCCGCCUUCCGCCCGAUUGUAGCUGAGAUAGGCGCCAGCGCCCCCCGCGACCCCAAAAGGGAAUAAGCGGUAGAAAAUGGAUGGAUGGAAGUUGCGGUGCACAAGGGAUACAAUUUGAAACGUCGUUAUACAACUAGACAUGCUGAGGAGUAUGCAAAUAUUUUUUUAAGAAAUCUUAUUUUGCAGCGCAGCCUCACCCAGACUCUGCGUCCAGUGGCCCCCAGGUAAAGUGAGUUUGAGACCCCUGUUGUAAAGGCAGGAUGUUUGAUACAACACUUGUACUGUGCAGCUGCGAUUGUAUAACUGUGUUUAACAUCAAGUAUCUCUCCCACAGGAAGCUUCCAAGAGCAUUUAAGUGACACUUUUCUCCCCACUAAGCGGACAAUGACUGAAUGUACUGAACAAACGGGCGGCGAGACCGUGGCGAGCUCGUCCUCGUGGUCCGUGUUGACCCCAAAGCGAGGCAUGGAGGAGCUGGAGAGGCUGGAGCUGUGGGACAGCUUCCGCACGCCGCUGAUAUGACUCAUCGACUUGUCCUUCAGCGUCGGAGAUGGGAUGUCCACUUCGUCCUGCUUGUCUACAGAUUGGCACGGUCAGUGACUCAUAGCUCGUAUUGGGAUGCUAUGUAGCAGGAUUGGGGCUGCACUCACCCAGGAAGGUGCUGGAGAUGUACUCAGACACCUGGUUGCCUGAGCGACUCAUCUCAGACAGGUCAAGCAUGCCCCGGCUCCUACCUUGUUGGAUGCCAUCUCGCUGACCGAGCGGUGCGUCUGGAUGGUUUCCAGCUGGUCCAAACACCAGUCCAGUUCUUCCAGCGUGUCCAAGGCGAGCUGUUGAUGCUGUUGGUCCGACAGUUUGGCUCUAGGACUGACACACACUCCACUCAGCGGUGACCUCCUGAGUUCACAGAAAAAAGGCCUCUACAGACGGAGGAGCUCUUGGAUCUGCACUGCAGUGCCGUAGCAACAAAACACUGGGGGAACAGUACCAGUUGCUAGGCAACAGUGCCGUGUUUCUCCCAUGCUGUGCUGAAUGUUGUCGUCCAGACCAGAUGUGGAAAGAUGCUUACACACAUAAUAUAUAUAUAUAUGUGUAUAUAAUUGUAUAUGUAUAGACACUCUCACACGAACACUAACAGGCUCAGUAUGAUCAAUAAAAAGCUGUUUGAAUAAUGCAUGCUAUCAUCAUGUCCUUCAUCCAGGAUGAAAGCAUCUCAAAGAAAACAUCCUCUUCUAAGUGGAUUCAUGUGCACAGACCUUUGAGGACAUGAACAAAGGAAGGCGGGAAUGUUAUGUGUGUGUUUUCAACGCAAGCCAAACGCGGCGGCGGCGUUUCGACGGACGUGCUCCUCACCUCUUCUCCUGUCACCGACAGCACACUGCGGCUCUUUUUCAUCCUGAUUGGCUCGUUCUGGGCCCCAGGGCGGAGCGUUCCGGAACCCAGGCAGCAGAGCAGGUGGAGAGCCAGGACCGGAGAGGUCAAAGGUCACUGCAAGGUCAAACCUGGGACGGCGGGGUGAGGGCAGGACGCGGUCAGACCGGGUAACCAGCGUCCAUCGAGGCCGACCCGGCCGACACCUCAGUGUUCAAAGCGGACCCCGCCCACAAUGCAUUUAGGUGUCAGGCUUCUUGUUAUUGUUGUUGUUUUGAUCGCUUAUUUUUCCACACAAGCCCCAGAUGAGAGAGACAAAUAGUUCACUCCAUUUUGGAAAAAACAAACAGUCCAAAGGGGGAAGGUCCAGGUGGUCCUGCUUGGACCAGGUGAGCCAACAGCACAUCCCUGUCAGGGUCCAUGACGCCAGUGCUGGGGGACGCUCGGAAUCCAGAAGCAUCAUCUGUGGUCAUCUUUUCAGAAUGUUGAGCACCACUGGAAAGUCAUCCUGGAAGGCUUCCAGUGUCUCCUCUUGUCACACCUGCAAGGACACCAAAAAAAACAAGGUCAAAUCCUUUUUUGGUUCAUUUUUAAAAUUUACAGAACUCUACAACUGUGAUGUAGAAGAUAAUAUGGCAGGAGGGAGGGACAAUCUGUAGAAAAUAAUGCAGUGUCAAUAAGUGUAAUUUAAGGGCCACACUGAAAAUGUAAAUAAAAUCAUUAAAUUAUGAGGAAAAAGUCAAAAUGUUACCACAAAAAAAAUUUAUAUUAUGAGAAUAAGGUUGUAAAUUACAGGAAAAAAUCCAUAACAUUAUACAAUUAAACUUAGUUUUACGGGAAUACAUAUGUAAUAUUUUGAAAGGAAUAAAGGAUUAUUUUUUGACAGGUCAAAGAUGAAAGAUGUAACAAUACAAAAAAACAUUUGUAAAAUUAUGAAAAUAAAGCUUCAUUUACAAAUAAGUCACAAUGUUUUGACAAUAGGGUCAUAUUUUUGGCAAGAAUAAAGUUGCAAAAUAAUGAGAAUAAAGCAAUGGUAUCAAAAGAAAUAAGUUGGAAUGAUCAAAGGGAAUUCAAUUGUGGUAUGAGGAAAGAAAAUACAUAUUUUUAUUUUAUACAAUAAAGUCGAAAUAUGAGGAUGAGGAUGUAACAUUACAAAUAUAAAUUGGUCAAACUUUACAAAUAUAGCUUUGUUUACAAUUCAGUCGUAAUGUUUUGACAAUAAAGUCAAGUUUUGGCAAGAAUAGAGUAGUAACAUUGUGAGUAGACUGAAUGAAUCAAGUAUAUUACUCAAAUAAAGUUAGUUUUAAAUAAAUAAAAAUGUAAUAUUAUGAAGAAAGAAAAUACAUGUUUUUAUUUUAUUUUAUACAAUAACGUUGAAAUAUAGGGAUACCUUACACAAAUGUAUUAGAAAAGUUAUGAGAAUAAAUCUUAUACAUAAUGAAGUCAUAAUAUAGAAAAUAUCAAGUUGCAACAUUACGGGACUAAAGUCAUAGCCUGACCACAAUAAAGUUGGAGUCUUUCAAGCAUAAAUUCAUAAUGUUGCACAGUUGCUCGGACUUUAACUUCAUUUUCUUAAUAAAUACGUAAAAAAAUAAGAUAAAAAUAGAGUAGGAAUUAUUGUCAUAACAAUACAACUUUAUUCUCAUAUUAUUACAAGAACAAAGAAUAUGAGAAAAACAAGUCAUGUUUUUUACAAAACAAUGCCUUCAAGUUCUUUCCCCAAAAACAUUUUUUCCCCCCAAAAAAAGAUAAGCAUUUUUUAUUUCUUUAAUGUAAUUUUUCCCAAAACAUUAUGAUUUUUUGUAUUAUGUGGGGCGGUUUAGCUAUGUUGGUAGAGUGGCUGUGCCAGCAACUUGAGGGUUGCCGGUUCAAUUCCCGCUUCUGCCAACCUAGUCACUGCCGUUGUGUCCUUGGGCAAGACACUUUACCCACCUGCUCCCAGUGCCACCCACACUGGUUUGAAUGUAACUUAGAUAUUGGGUUUCACUAUGUAAAGCGCUUUGAGUCACUAGAGAAAAAGCGCUAUAUAAAUAUAAUUCACUUCACUUCACUUCACAUUGAAACUUAAAUUGUGAUUAUCUAACUUUAUUACUGUAACAUUACAGAAAAAAAUUACCAUAAUAUUUCACCUUUACUUUUUUGAUAGAACAACUUUAUUCUCAUAAUAUUGAAGGAUUCAAGAAGCUUUAUUGUAAUAUAUCAGCACACAUGAGAUGGCACGACACUUGAUUAAGAUUUUUUUAAAGACCAACUAAUUAUUGCAUCUUUACUUGCAAUUUGACCUAAUUCACUUUAAUAUUUCUAGUCGUAUUUUGCACAUCUAACAAGCCAACCACGUGGCCGGAUGUCUGUUAUGAAAGAAAUGGUUAAACAAACAUGUUGCGAACUUCAAAGCAUUUUUAACUUUCAUUACCAGUUGGAACCAGCCUGAACUCUAACAAACGGUUUUGCUGUUAAAUUUCCCCUUUGAGGGCUCUUCACUCUGCUUUUGUACCAUGAACAUGAGACUCGUGCACACCACAAUUCACACCUAAAUCAGCCAUUUACAAGGGACAAAAUGACAAGAGGUGGCUAAAACGCCUCUAGCACAAUCGUAAAUAUUGUUGUCAUUGCGGUGGCCUUGCUCAGCUAAUUCUCAGCUCAUAUACUGCAACAUCCAAUUUUCCCUCAUCUUAUAUAAUUACUCGGAGUCGUCCGAGAUGACCCAUUUUUUUUGCAUUGGGAGGGAUCCUACAUAUGGUGUUUUCUGAUCAGCUGGCAGUCUCACACACACACACACACACAUAUAGGGUCAAACAGUCUGCUUGCACACACACAAGGCUAACAAAUGAACACAUGCAUGGUGACACAGUGACUUACAAUACAUGCACAGACAAUAAGCAGAGAGCAGCUCAAUAUGAAGAUGCGGUGUGAUUAAAAAAAAAAACAUGAGGGAUGCUCGAGUGCACAAGAGGGACGUCUCUCUCUUACACUCACACACAAGUAGAUGACACACGUCAGGCUGCAGCAAUUCUCCCCCCACCCUCACCCAAACAACAACACACUCACCUUGAUAGCAUCCACAUGAAGGCGGUGGGCCGGGCCUCCUCUUCCUCUUCCUCCCCCUCCUCCUCCUCCUCCUCCUGCUGCUUGCUGGCCGUGGUCGCUCCCUGCAGACGAGCCGUGCAUGUGUCACAAACACUCUGCGUCUUCAUGAAGACCAGCUUCCCGCCCGCCCUGUCUCUCUCCUCGCCCUCUCUCUCCUCCUCCCCUUUACCCGCCUCAGUGGUCCUAACCAACCAGCCAAGGAGCCCACCUCCGCCUCCUCCCGCACUCUUUUAAAUAAUCAUCUCCUCCUCCCCUCCUUUUUGUGGAUUAAUUGGUGGUGGCCUUUUCUUUCACGUUCCAAAAGGAUGAUGAUUCUUCAUGUUUACUCAUAUUAGACCAGGGGUGCCCACACUUUUUCUGCAGGCGAGCUACUUUUCAAUUGACCAACUCGAGGGGAUCUACCUCAUUUAUAUAUAUCAUUUAUAUUUAUUUAUUUAUGAAAGAGACAUUUUUGUAAACAAGUUAAAUGUGUUUAAUGAUAAUACAAGCAUGUGUAACACAUAUAGAUGUCUUUCUUUCACAAAGACAAGAAUAUAAGUUGGUGUAUUACCUGAUUCUGAUGACUUGCAUUGAUUGGAAUCAGACAGUAAUGAUGAUAACGCCCACAUUUUCAAAUGGAGGAGAAAAAAAGUUGUCCUUUCUGUACAAUACCACAUGAAAGUGGUUGGUUUUUGGCAUCUAAUUCAUCCAGCUUCCAUACACUUUACAAGAAAAACAUUGGCGGCAAAUUCCGUAGCUUGCUUGAUUGACAUUCACGG